GUUAAUCCUUCCUGUAAACUGGCCGGUUUAGAGUGCUCGGGAAGUGUGCCUUGGAGUUAAAGAUUUGGGGAGUUAAUGCCAAAGAUAGGAGAACGCACCACGUAGUAAAAUUCAACAUAUGGAGAUUCACAGUUACCUAAUGUAGUCCUCCUGGGCUUAUUUAUGGCAACGUGACUGAAGGCAGGAGAUACUCAUAGGCAUCUGAAAGGAUUAGAAGAUUCAGCAAUUCGUUAAUAUGAGCUCGUCCCACCAAGAGGUAACCAGUGUGACAAGACUCAAACAAGCAAAAUGAAAAUGGCAAGGGCCGUAUAGACCGACAAAUUUCACAGAAUUGUAAAUUAAUGAUAGGGAAUUGGAUUGGGUCAGAGUGAGCAAUUUAUCUUAUUUGGCUUUGAUUUGGAUAUUGCAAUUUGAUGGUUGCCAGUGCCCAGAGUAAUUGUUAUCUUCCCUGAGCCUGUUUUAAAAAAAAA